rnacentral:rRNA from 1 species
UACGUAGGGCGCAAGCGUUAUCCGGAAUUAUUGGGCGUAAAGAGCUCGUAGGCGGUUUGUCGCGUCUGCCGUGAAAGUCCGGGGCUCAACUCCAGAUCUGCGGUGGGUACGGGCAGACUAGAGUGAUGUAGGGAAGACUGGAAUUCCUGGUGUAGCGGUGAAAUGCGCAGAUAUCAGGAGGAACACCGAUGGCGAAGGCAGGUCUCUGGGCAUUAACUGACGCUGAGGAGCGAAAGCAUGGGGAGCGAACAGG